rnacentral:lncRNA from 1 species
GUCAAAGAAGGACUGAGGGGAACGAAUCUUGUUGUGCAGCAGAGCUUCGUGCAGCAGGCGGGCAGCCUGGAUCGCGCCGACCACCAUGGUGAAAGCUGACAGCAUGACCAGGAGCCCUGAUUGGGAGAGACAGAGAGCGAGUCACUCACCCCAGGGGAGGAAGCUGGGACAGACGGGAAGAAGGAGACAGGGGAUGGCCCGGUGGAGUUAUGGAGGUUCUGAGACAGGGGUAUGGUUUUGUGGCUUGGGGAGUGGGCAGAGGAGAGGAAGGGAGGCGCACCCCAAUGUGUUCACCUUGCAGUAUCCCUAGGGCGGCGUAGACACCGAGCCUUACGGAGGUCUUGUUCUGCUGGCCAUGUUCCUCCGCAUCAUUGCUCCAGGCGCUGAGCCACACAUUGGCUCCGAUAGCAGCUGCGCUUUGGCCACCAUACAGGAGGCAGAUAGAUAGCGUGGUACAGAGUCCCAUAGACUUGGCAUAAUCCCAGUACACACUCAGCUUCACCUGUAAGGAGUGGCCACACCAUCUUCAUGAUCCCGGGGAACCUAAUCAUCUACCCCAGGCCAUGUCCACCCUGCUUACAUUGCCUGUCUCUGCUAUCUCCUCUUUGAUUAAUGCGCCAGUCUCCUUAGUCUUUGUCACCAGCGCCUCCUUCUCCAAUGAAUUUGUGUGUUUCUUGGGCAUAGUCCGGUUCUGGACCUCCCCUUCAGAAGACAAGGAGCUCAUCUCUCUGUGGAGGCAAACGGUCAGACCUAGGCAGGAGAUUACGGACGCCCUCCCAGGACAUGUGUAACAGGGAGAGAAUGUCCACUUGUGGCCUCCGUGCCGGUGCAUGGGGGCCCUGAUGUCACCUGCUGGGGACUUGAGAACUCUUGGGAAUCUACCUCAUGAACUGCUUGCGGACCUCGUAGAUGGCUGGCUCAUUGUCUGUCAGGUCUGUGUGGGUGCUGAGUGUGUCUUCGAGCAGGAGUACCUCCUCAUUUGCAUUUUGCAAGGCUGCUGCAGGAAAGGAAAAGCCCAGAGGUUAUCUGCUCCUUUGAGCAGCCCUUGAGAGCCUGUUCUCCGUGCUGGUGGGAGAUCUGGAUGGACGAGCAGGGAGCAGGAGAGGGUUUGAAAGACUAGCUAGAAGGAAAUGGGUCUAGGCAAUGCAAACAAAACAAAACAAAACAAAACAAAACAACAAUAAGUAAAAACAAAAACACAAGCAAAAAAAAACCCUUUCCUUUGCCGACCGUAGAGAAGGGGGCUCAAUAGCCUGAAAACUUAGGCUCUGAAGUGAGUCUAGGUGACUUUAAAUUCUACUCUCUUGAUGGCAGCAGGACCUCAGGCAGGCAUAGUCAAAGAGUAAUAAUCAUUGAUAGAUAGCUCAUGGGCACCACCAGUCACAGGAUUAAGGAAAGGAUGUGUGUCCUUGGUUUAUCGAAGGGCACGGCACUUGGGGACUGCUCAUGCAGGUUGGCUGUAUAUACAGCAUUAGUCAGGAACCAAGAGAAGGCCUGAGAGCUGGCUCAGAGGGUGGAGGUAGGGCGUUUUGCCUAGGCAAUCCAAAGGGGAGCAAUGCCUUUAGGGAGCUCAGACACUGCCUUGGGGCUUCGUGAUGAGAGAGGCUUUUUGUUAGUCCACUAGCUAAAAUAGUUCCAGGUCAUAGUAAUUAUUUAACAACUCUUGUUGAUAAAUAAGUGAUUUUGCCAAGUAUUUAUACACUUACAACAUAAUUCAACCAUAAGACAGACAGCUUCAGUAUAUAUUCUGGGUGUGAGCUUGUGUGUCCUUUUUUUUUUUUUUUAAUUUGUUUGUUUUUUGUUUUUUUGUUUUUUUUGUUUUUCGAGACAGGGUUUCUCUGUAUAGCCCUGGCUGUCCUGGAACUCGGUUUGUAGACCAGGCUGGCCUUGAACUCAGAAUCCACCUGUCUCUGCCUCCCAAGUGCUCAAAUUAAAGGCAUGUACCACC